CUCCGUUGAAGGAUGCUUCUAGCGCUUCCUGAGGACUCCAAGCACUGAAGCAGACACCACAACCACCAAACCGGAGACGCAUACGAAUGCUCUCAAGCAUAUGAAUGCUGUAAGCAGCUGAACAGGAAAAGCAUACAAUCAACUUACACUCCUGGCAAUCAGCAUACAAUCCAAUUCCCCCAAUAACGAGACGACACUUCGUUUUGAGGUCAAGCAGAACUGAUUUACUGGGGCUACCUGCACGGCUUUUAUGCAGGUCUCCUACCUGGUGGACACUCCCCUAGGGGACCAGAUGGAAGACUGGGAAACCUAUUGGACAUUGACCAAUCACAAGCUUACAAUCCAACAAUGCAUCACAAUCCCUCCUCUCUGUCCUGGAGAUAAUUGGGAAGUAAUCCAAUUAUCUCCAAGGACAGAGGCAAAACUCCAUUAACCACAUGGCAGACAAAGGCCAAUAAAAGACAUAAAAAUACAUACUGUUACAUUUAUCACAUAGAACAUACACAUUGUACCUAUCCCCAGAUAGCUUAGAUCUGAGCGCAAAUUAUUACCGGAUGGCGCUCAGAUCACAUACAUACAGUUCAAUCGCAUAUAGCCAAAGUCUUUCAUACAGUCUUUCAUGUCACAGCUAUCUGGGGUAGCAUGGCUUUAACAACCUUUCUGCAGGGAAAAAGAACAGUGUUAAACAUGGGUCCAUAGUCCAGUGGCAGGAAGCGGGUGACCAGGCUCCUCCAGUGGUGAGGUUGGUUCC